CUUUCACCUUUUUUACUUUGUCCGGUGUCUAUCAUUUGAGCUUCUAUCUUUUUCUAAUUUUUGUUAUACCACUGUGGUAGCCCAGUGGUUAAUCUCUUCUUACCCAUAGUUGAAGACAGAGAUGAGUAGACGAGGUGGUUUAAUGAAUUGAGAUGGAAUCAGAUUUCGAAUGCAACUGUGUUUCACAAUUUGGGAUAAAGUUGUGUGCUACUGCAAUAUCUGUGCCGAUCAAAGAAAACGUUCAGCUUGAUUCUUGCCGGUGUGCAAUGAUGGAAAUGCGUGCCUGGUCUAUAUGAACUAAAAUCCCCGGUCAGUCAAUAAAGUUUCAAGAUUUUUAUUCGGAGAUUAAUAUCAUCACUUUCUAUAUUUCAAUUGCUCAUGCACAAAGAUGUACUAACUUUUUGUGAAUCAAUUGAUAUGUUGUGAUCAAGUUAAAAUAACACGUUGGUGGAGCUUUUUCUAAAAGUAAUAAAUGUAAGUUGUCUUCCUACAAUAUUAUGAUAGGUAACAACCAGAGUUCUUUAUAAAGUUUUUGAUGGAAAUUAGGUAUGACUAUUCAAGAAAGAGUUGAAUGCCUACAUUUGUACUUUGGGGUAAAGACUGCUCAGGGCCUUCUGAGCAAGAACAAAAGCCAUAAACAAAAAUAAGUUAAUAGAAUUCAGAAACUUCCUGAUCGAGCCAAAUGAGGGCUCAGGGAGAGUUACACAUUAAGAAGAACUUUUGACUAACUUAUUAAUUUUUAAAUUUUGUUUUUAUGUAUAUUAUGUAUAAAAAUGUGUAUGACAAUACUUGAUUUGUUUGUUGAUAACUUUGGACUUAAGAUGUAAGCUAUACUUCAAAUGAGAGACUAAGCUCUUCUGAGAAUUUUAAAGUUUUAUUUGUAAGGCCAUGAGAAGGAGGAAUUUUAAAAUUUUUAUUUUCUUGGAAAAGCAUGGAUCUUCUGAGUGCUUGAUUCUGUCUCUAAGUAAAUUUUGGUAAAUGGUACAUGUUGACAUGUGUGAAGAUCAAUCUUCUAUUGUCUUAUCCAGUGCUAUAUAAAUAUUCAUAAGUUUUAUCUGCACCUAUUUUCAUAAUUAUGACCAUAUAUAUGUCUCUUUCCUUUUGUUUCUUUGUCAUUUGGGUCCUCCCGAUUCCUUUUAAAGGUUAGCCAUGAUAACUAUAUUGUAGGAUAAAUUGCUUUCCAUCUACUGAGUAUGCUAUUCUUAGUUUAUUUGUAGGUUGUGCUUGAUACUUCGAUUCAAAGAUUGGUGCCUCAACUGAGUUAUUUUUAAGAAAAAAAUCUGAAAUGCUUGUGUGAAGAAAAUUUAAUCCGAUGAAGUUUAGGGUGACAUAAGAGACACAAUGUGACGUUUUUCAUUAGUUAAAUGAUUUUGUUUGCAAACACUUGUUCCUUUUAUGGAAAGUGAAUGCUAUAGCUUAUCACAUUUUUGUCUCUGCACAAAUAGAACGAUUUUUUGUAUUUCUACGGCACAAGAUGGUGUGAUGCAUUUAUUUCCUAUUAUUAUUAUUAUUAUUAUUAUUAUUAUUAUUA